rnacentral:misc_RNA from 1 species
AAAAAAAAAAAAGAAAGGAAAAGAGAGAGAGAUCUGUAAAUGCAUAAAAACCAAAAAGGAUCUUUUGUGGUCAUAACAAGCCACAAGCAGCAGGAACAGCAGUGCAAACCAAGUAGUAACGGAGAAGCUAACUCAAAAAGAACUAAAAGAAAUGCAGAUGUGGUAAAGAUCAGCACAUGCAUAUCUAUCUAUGAAACAUACAAAUAUAAAAGCAAAAGGGCAGAACAAGAGAGUAAAGUAACAGAACUUACCAUCAUUUGGAUCUGUUUCACUG